rnacentral:misc_RNA from 1 species
ACAUAAAGAAAGAAAAUCAACUUUUUUUUAUCAAUUUCAUUUUGAAAAUAGACUUCGUGUGCAUUUCAUUUGUGAAAUGGAUUUUCCAUCGGUGUUUUGUUGAAAAAGGCGAAAGAAAAAGGGAUUUCUGUGAAGGUUUGAUCUGUUAGGGUUUGGUUUUUUUGGGGCGUUGUUGAUUUGAUUGUUGAUUAUUGAGAGGGACAUGGAUAAGAAGAAGUUGGCAGUGCCUUUAGUUUGCCACGGGCAUUCGCGUCCUGUUGUGGAUUUGUUCUACAGUCCUGUUACUCCUGAUGGCUUUUUUCUCAUAAGUGCCAGCAAAGAUUCUAGCCCAAUGUUGAGAAAUGGAGAGACCGGAGAUUGGAUUGGGACCUUUGAAGGACAUAAAGGUGCAGUGUGGAGUUGUUGCCUUGAUACUAAUGCAUUGCGAGCAGCAUCUGCAUCUGCAGAUUUUACAGCGAAAUUGUGGGAUGCUUUGACUGGGGAUGAAUUACACUCUUUUGAGCAUAAGCACAUUGUUAGGGCUUGUGCCUUUUCAGAGGAUACACAUCUUCUACUUACUGGCGGAGUGGAGAAAAUUCUUCGUAUAUUUGACUUGAAUCGUCAGGAUGCACCCCCAAGAGAAGUUGACAGUUCACCUGGUUCUAUUAGAACUGUUGCAUGGCUUCACAGCGACCAGACCAUAUUAAGUUCUUGUACUGACAUGGGUGGUGUGAGGUUAUGGGACAUACGAAGUGGAAAAAUUGUUCAAACUCUUGACACGAAGUCACCUGUAACUAGCGCUGAAGUUAGUCAGGAUGGUCGAUAUAUAACUACUGCUGAUGGGUCUACAGUUAAAUUUUGGGAUGCAAAUCACUUUGGGCUGGUGAAGAGCUACAAUAUGCCAUGCAAUGUGGAAUCAGCUUCAUUGGAACCAAAACUUGGUAAUAAAUUUGUCGCAGGUGGAGAAGAUAUGUGGAUCCAUGUAUUUGAUUUCAAUACAGGAGAACAGAUUGGGUGCAACAAGGGUCACCAUGGUCCUGUUCAUUGUGUGCGGUUCUCCCCUGGAGGUGAAUCUUAUGCUUCAGGGUCUGAAGAUGGAACUAUCAGAAUCUGGCAAACAGGGCCCGCAAAUCUCGAGGAGAAUGAUUCACUCUCCAGAAAUGGGCCAACUGGAAAAGUGAAGGCAUUAGCUGAUGAUGUAGCCCAUAAGAUCGAAAGCUUUCAUAUAAGCAAAGAAGGGAAAGCUUCUGAGAAGGACAAGGCAACAGAUGCCUGACUAGGGCUUUAAAGUUUAGAUUGUCUAUGGGAUUCAACCUGUUUGUUUUGGUAUUUGCUCGAGUGUUAAGUUGUUGGCAUGUUCAUGUGACUUAUUGAGGGUUGUUCUUCUGUGAAAAUAAAUUGACUUAUAAAGCAAAUCAAGAUCAGAC